rnacentral:rRNA from 1 species
AUUGAACGCUGGCGGCAGGCCUAACACAUGCAAGUCGAACGGUAACAGGAAGCAGCUUGCUGCUUUGCUGACGAGUGGCGGACGGGUGAGUAAUGUCUGGGAAACUGCCUGAUGGAGGGGGAUAACUACUGGAAACGGUAGCCAAUACCGCAUAACGUCGCAAGACCAAAGAGGGGGACCUUCGGGCCUCUUGCCAUCGGAUGUGCCCAGAUGGGAUUAGCGAGUAGGUGGGGUAACGGCUCACCUAGGCGACGAUCCCUAGCUGGUCUGAGAGGAUGACCAGCCACACUGGAACUGAGACACGGUCCAGACUCCUACGGGAGGCAGCAGUGGGGAAUAUUGCACAAUGGGCGCAAGCCUGAUGCAGCCAUGCCGCGUGUAUGAAGAAGGCCUUCGGGUUGUAAAGUACUUUCAGCGGGGAGGAAGGGAGUAAAGUUAAUACCUUUGCUCAUUGACGUUACCCGCAGAAGAAGCACCGGCUAACUCCGUG